GAUGAAGAACGCGGCGAAAUGCGAUAAGUAAUGUGAAUUGCAGAAUUCAGUGAAUCAUCGAAUCUUUGAACGCACAUUGCGCCCGCUGGUAUUCCGGCGGGCAUGCCUGUUCGAGCGUCAUUUCAACCCUCAAGCUCUCCGGAGUUUGGUGUUGGGGCGCCUGGGGCUUUUCGACCUCAGGGCCCUCAAGUCCAUCGGCGGGACCGCCAGGACACUGAGCGCAGUAGUAUUAUUUCGCUCGGUAGGAUCUUCCACGGCGGGUCGAUCUGGCCGCUAAACCCCCCAAUUCUCACCAAAGGUUGACCUCGGAUCAGGUAGGAAUACCCGCUGAACUUAAGCAUAUCAAUAAGCGGAGGA
rnacentral:misc_RNA from 1 species